rnacentral:rRNA from 1 species
UGUUGAUUACGUUGAGGGUACACCUGUUCCCAUUCCGAACACAGAAGUUAAGCUCAAUGGUGCCGAAAAUACUUGGGUGGUGACGCCCCGGGAAAAUAGGGAGAUGCC